UUUUAUCUUUCUUUUUUCACUAUCUCUCCACAUCUUUUUCUUCCUCACAUUUCACCUACAAUUUCGAGAUGAAAAAAAAACAUACCAGAUCCAUCAUCGGCUACCUCCGGCCACCUCAUGUAUCGCUAACAUUUGUCGUCCACUCAGACCGCACCUAAAACCAGGUACCCCCUCUCUCACUCUAGAUUUUUAGGCAUGAACAUAAACAAGUCUACAACACAAAAUAAAUCCAUAUUAAAAUUCAAGGAGAGAAAGAUAUAUUAUAUUACUACUCUCUUGUAUUCCAGAAAACAAAUUCACAUAACCCAAAGAUUGAAACUAAAUCAAAAACUAGAAAGGGUUUUCAACAUACGAAAUCAUAUAAAUCACUUCUGGUUCUAAGUACCAAAUCCUCUUCUAUAAUCUCCCUAUUCUCAACCCUAUUCCAUGGAACCCACACAUCAGCUUGUCUCCCCAAUGCUUUGUCCCAAUCACCAAACCACCCUCCCUAAAUUUGAAUCUCCAGUCCUUCUUAACAUUUCCAAGAAAUUAGAAUCAUCAGAAACUAACACUAACUAAUCAAUUCAUUUACUCAUGGAAUGGUUCAUCUGUCUCUUCAAUGCCCAAUACACCGUUUGAGGCUUAUCCCCCGCCGUCUUCACAAAAACCUUCGCCCUUCUAAGUUUUGCUUCCAACUAAUACCCAGUUUUGGGCGUAACUAGGGUUCUAGAAGCUUCCAUGUACGUGUGAUUUCCGGUGAUAAACCUCUCCUUGAAUCGUUGUCGUUUCUUUCCCUUCAAGGAUUUCAUUAUGUUAACCUUAUUCUCUCUUUCUUUCAUGUGUAAUUGUUUGAAUUGUUUCUUUUGGUAAGGUAGAACAGAGAUAGAGGUGGUACAGAGGGUGGAGAGGAGAAAAACUCGGUUGCUAUCGUCGGCGGAGACAAGGAUGACGGUAAAAGCUUUGUCUUGUCAGAAAGAGUAACACUCUGUUCCCGAGUGUCACUUAAUGACGGAAGUGGAGAGAAAGUGAGGGAAUCAGAUAGAAAGAGUAAGCCAUCGUGUUCCCAAUUUUUUUUUUGGAAUGAUUUGGGAAUAAAAGAAAGGAAAUCAGAUGAUAAUCUUCCUCAGAAAUUGGAAAGAUUUGGAGAGAAGAGAAUCUUUGAUAAGGAUAACAACACACAGUUUACCAAUUUAUCCUUAUUAACCCUAUAUAGGAUCAUGUAUCAUACACAACACAUAAAAAUAUUUCUUCAACCUCUGGUCCUGCUGUCGGCUUCCAUCAUCCAUCAUCCAUCAUAUAUUUCAUUAUCCUCUCCACUGCAUUAUAUUCUUUUUUUUGUUAUAGUAUGAAUCGAUUAUAUAGAAUCGUGUAUAAUAUGAAUCAAUUAUAUGGUUUCAUUAUUCUUUUUGUCCCUUGUUAAACU
rnacentral:lncRNA from 1 species